UAUACCGUGAAACUGCGAAUGGCUCAUUAAAUCAGUUAUCGUUUAUUUGAUAGUACCUUACUACUUGGAUAACCGUGGUAAUUCUAGAGCUAAUACAUGCUAAAAACCCCAACUUCGGGAGGGGUGUAUUUAUUAGAUAAAAAACCAACGCCCUUCGGGGCUUCUUGGUGAUUCAUGAUAACUUUACGGAUCGCAUGGCCUUGCGCCGGCGACGGUUCAUUCAAAUUUCUGCCCUAUCAACUUUCGAUGGUAAGGUAUUGGCUUACCAUGGUUUCAACGGGUAACGGGGAAUUAGGGUUCGAUUCCGGAGAGGGAGCCUGAGAAACGGCUACCACAUCCAAGGAAGGCAGCAGGCGCGCAAAUUACCCAAUCCCGACACGGGGAGGUAGUGACAAUAAAUACUGAUACAGGGCUCUUUUGGGUCUUGUAAUUGGAAUGAGUACAAUUUAAACCUCUUAACGAGGAACAAUUGGAGGGCAAGUCUGGUGCCAGCAGCCGCGGUAAUUCCAGCUCCAAUAGCGUAUAUUAAAGUUGUUGCAGUUAAAAAGCUCGUAGUUGAAACUUGGGUCUGGCUGGCAGGUCCGCCUCACCGCGUGUACUUGUCCGGCCGGGCCUUCCUUCUGGAGAACCUCAUGCCCUUCACUGGGCGUGUUGGGGACCAGGACUUUUACUUUGAAAAAAUUAGAGUGUUCAAAGCAGGCCUUUGCUCGAAUACGUUAGCAUGGAAUAAUAGAAUAGGACGUGCGGUCCUAUUUUGUUGGUUUCUAGGACCGCCGUAAUGAUUAAUAGGGACAGUCGGGGGCAUCAGUAUUCAAUUGUCAGAGGUGAAAUUCUUGGAUUUAUUGAAGACUAACUACUGCGAAAGCAUUUGCCAAGGAUGUUUUCAUUAAUCAGUGAACGAAAGUUAGGGGAUCGAAGACGAUCAGAUACCGUCGUAGUCUUAACCGUAAACUAUGCCGACUAGGGAUCGGGCGAUGUUCUUUUUCUGACUCGCUCGGCACCUUACGAGAAAUCAAAG
rnacentral:rRNA from 1 species